rnacentral:rRNA from 1 species
CAGUAGCCACGGUAAUACGAAGGGGGCUAGCGUUGCUCGGAAUGACUGGGCGUAAAGGGCGCGUAGGCGGUUCGUACAGUCGGAUGUGAAAUUCCUGGGCUUAACCUGGGGACUGCAUUCGAUACGUGCGGGCUUGAGUGUGGAAGAGGGUUGUGGAAUUCCCAGUGUAGAGGUGAAAUGCGUAGAUAUAGGAAGGAACACCAGUGGCGAAGGCGACCACCUGGGCUCAUACUGACACUGAGGUGCGAAAGCGUGGGGAGCAAACAGGAUUAGAUACCCCUGUAGUCCCUGUCUCUUAUAC